UACGUAGGGGGCUAGCGUUGUCCGGAAUCAUUGGGCGUAAAGCGCGUGUAGGCGGUCCGGUAAGUCCGCUGUGAAAGUCGGGGGCUCAACCCUCGAAUGCCGGUGGAUACUGUCGGGCUAGAGUGCGGAAGAGGCGAGUGGAAUUCCUGGUGUAGCGGUGAAAUGCGCAGAUAUCAGGAGGAACACCAAUUGCGAAGGCAGCUCGCUGGGACGUAACUGACGCUGAGACGCGAAAGCGUGGGGAGCAAGCAGG
rnacentral:rRNA from 1 species